AGUGAAGCGGGAUGAGCUCAAAUUUAAAAUCUGGCUGGUUUACCAGUCCGAGUUGUAGUUUAAAGAAGCGUUUUCGGUGGCAGGCCGGGUAUAAAUCCUUUGGAACAGGGUAUCAUAGAGGGUGAGAAUCCCGUCUUUGACUCGGCUGAUGUUACUAUGUGAUACGUUUUCAAAGAGUCGAGUUGUUUGGGAAUGCAGCUCAAAAUGGGUGGUAAAUUUCAUCUAAGGCUAAAUAUUGGCGAGAGACCGAUAGCGAACAAGUACCGUGAGGGAAAGAUGAAAAGAACUUUGAAAAGAGAGUUAAACAGUGCGUGAAAUUGUUGAAAGGGAAACGUUUGACACCAGCUAUGUAGGCGGAAAAUCAGUCAAGCGCAGUGAGGGGCUGGUGUUUGUCCGGACCGCAAGGCCGGCGGAUAUCUCAUCUUUGCUGUGGGUGAUGCACUUUUUCGUUCGCAGGUCAACAUCAGUUUCGCUUGCUGGACAAAACCCCGAGAGAAGGUAGCAGCUUUGGCUGUGUUAUAGCUCUGGGGCGAUACAGUGGGUGGGACUGAGGAUUCGCAGUGUGUGCUCUCGGGCAAGGCUGACUGGGUGCUCUGGGGUCGUUUGGCGUACAAUGCUUGCAUUUUGCGUCUUGUCUUCUUCAGACUCGCUUAGUUCGGCUCUUCCACGCU
rnacentral:rRNA from 2 species